UGAAUCCAGCGAUCCGAGUUCAA
rnacentral:piRNA from 4 species